rnacentral:lncRNA from 1 species
GGAGCCUACGGCUGCGGGGAGGCUCCGGCAUGGCGGGCUGCAGGUCCGGUGCCCUGCUCUGCAGGGAGGCAGCUGAGGCCCGGCGAGAAUUCCAGCGCAGUGCCGGCGGGCGGAACUGCUGGGGGACCCGGCGCACCCUCCGCAGCUGCUGGCCCGGGUGCUAAGCCCCUCACUGCCCGGGGCCCACCGAGCCCACGCCCACCCGGAACUCGCGCUGGUCCGGCGCGCAGCCCCGGUUCCCGCCCGCGCCUCUCCCUCCACACCUCCCUGCAAGCAGAGGGAGCCGGCUCCGACCUCGGCCAGCCCAGAGAGGGACUCCCAUAGCCGGCUCCGAUCUCGGGCGGCCCAGAGAAGGACUCCCAUAGUGCAGCGGCGGGCUGGCGGGCUGAAGGGCUUCUCAAGCGCGGCCAGAGUGGGCGCCAAGGCUGAGGCGCCGCCGAGAGCGAGCUGCCAGGACGCUGUCACCUCUCACUGAGAUUACAGGUGGAAAGUGACACAACUGAAUGAUGAUUUUCUUGGUAACAUUUGGAAGGGCCACGAGAGCUGCUGGGAUUGGGCUUGCUGUGUUUCCUUGAUGAAUUUCACCUUUAAAGGAGCUUGCUGCAUGAGAGAGGCUGUCUUGCCUUUAAAUUCAUUCUUCAAGUUCGUCCCGGAGGGCAUCGUUUUUCCUGCCUUGAGGAAGCAACAACAAAUAACCCAGGAAAAACACUGCAUAAACAUGGCAUCCAAAGAGAGGAAGCAGAGACAUGAUGCACCAACUACUACUUUAGUAAUUGAAGAGAGAGAGAAGAGCCUGAAGUCAUUCAAUAAUUAGAUCAAAUAAUUUACUAAUGGAUCAUUUGUCUUCCCUUCCAAUGUAAGUUUAAAUUCUUAUUACAGAGAGGGACAAGGAAAUUGUGGAAAAAACACAAAGAAUUUGAGACUCCUAGAACCUAAAUAUUGGCCCAACUACAAGUACCAGAAAAUCAAAAUUCCAAUACAUUGAACAAACAGGAGUUCAUCUUUUUCUCCAGGUAGGUAGGCAAGUAUAGAGCUCCAUGGCAACAUCAAUGACUCAGGAUCCUUUUAUCUUUCUAUUCCAGCUUCCUUAGCAAGUUGGCUAAUUGCUCCAUGGUCACAAGAUAGCUGCUGAAUCUCUAGAAAUCAUUCCCAAGUCCCAUUCAGGAAGAAAAUAAAAGGGUGCAUUGGCUUUUUCUGUUUCCCUCUUCUCAGAACUCUCUCAGCAGACUUUCACUUACGUGUUAUAUAGUCCAGAACUGGAUGGCAUGGCUCCCCACCGUGUGCAAGGGAGAUUCAACAGGAUUUGGUUUUUCAGCCUCUGUUGGGAGAGACCAAGAGACAGAAGGAGACUGGGUAACACUGUCCACCGUAACCACUUAGUAUAGUGAUAACUCUGGGCAAAUAUUAAUUACUACUGGGCUAGUUGAAAGUUUCUGGGAAGCAAAUCAGUUGCUAAGCACAUGCUCUAUGAGAACCCAUAAUAUAAAUAAGAAGAAGAAAAAAGAAGGUUUAAAUGUUGGCUUACUUAGAGGAAUGCCUAGUUUCUUCUCUAUCACUGUGGUAACCACUAGGUUACAACUGUUACCUUUUCUCACAGAAAGACAAUUCCAAAACAGACCUCAAAUGAAAAUGCUACACAAAUAAUGGAUUAAUUGGGUACCAUUUCUACUCUUCUCAUCAUGUUUUACAAGCAGUUGAAAUAAUAUGUGCCCUUCCCAGUCCCUUUUUAGUAUUUGUCAGUAGAAUAGAGUGUCAAAAACGACUUACGAUGCCUAAAACAUUUAGAAAUUAAAAUAGCAUGUGGUGGUGCCAUGACCUUUUCAAUAUGCUGGUGUUUCAAUUGUUCAGCCAUUCCUCUUGUUCUUUUUCCUGACUGUUCUUUAUCAGAGGAAAAGGUAAAUUGGCACCUCAAGUAUGGAGUACUCAAAGGAACUAAACAGCACAUUAUUGAAACAAUUCAGAGGCAAUCCCGCAUAGCUUCCAAGUGCCAUGGAAACAAAAGAUGGUAACUUUAUUAAUUGUGAAAGGUUGGGGGAACGAAUUUAGUAUCUUGCUUUGCCAGUUUUCCUCUAGUGCACAGUAUAGUUUCCAGGACCUGCAUACAAACAUCAGUUCAUGAUCAAAAUGUGACCUUGCCUGUCCCGAUGAAUAAAACUAAUAAAUUCCCCAAUGAUAUGCUUAUUAUGCUUCUCUGAGGGAAGAUGGUUGCUUUCGUGUCAUUGUGGUUCCAUAAUAUCUCUUGGAAGGAGGCUUCUGAGGAUGCCCAAGCUGCUCCUCUGGGUUUCCCUAACACCCUGCAUGCGCUCAUCGUGUAGAAAUUGCCACAUAGCGUUACAGGUUUCUGUUCACUUAUUUCGUCUGCCCAGUGGGAAUGUGAUUUCCUGAAGAGCACCUAGCACAUGCCUAAAACACAAAAGGACUUCACUAAACAUUUGCUGAAUAACUACCACCUGUGCCAAGAAGCAGACCGGCUUCCGCUACAACUGACAGCCCUUCUCUCCUGCUAGUCAGAGAUUCUCUGUCUUGGAAGAGACUUUAGGAAACAGCAGACAUCUUGGAUGUGUGCCUGCCUGCAUUACCACCUUCUCCAGUUUUAUCCUAAAGCUGACUUCAGUACAGCUCUCCCCAAACUGUGGAAACUUUGGAUGACUACCUAAGAACUCCACAAACUCAAGCAGCUUUAAAGCCACUCUGCAACUUUCCUACAAUGAAAGAGGAGGCAGGUACCAUUCUCAGAUAAUACCGAUGAAUUCAGAAACCAAAAUAAAUCUGAAAAAAUGUAGUGCUUCACACUUACAUUUAUACCCUUCUCCCUUCUUGCUUUAUUCCCCAGAAGUGAGUAGCUCCUGAAACUGAUAGCCAAGAGAUGUUCAGGAAGAACCUGUCCCCAAACAGGUGUUUGCACACCCAAGUUAUGUAGGUGUCGGAGUAGAG